GAAGCCGGAAUUGCUAGUAAUGGCAGGUCAGCAUACUGCCGUGAAUACGUUCCCGGGCCUUGUACACACCGCCCGUCACACCAUGAGAGUUGGGAGUACCCGAAGCCUGUGAGCUAACAUUAAGAGGCAGCAGUCGAAGGUAGAAUCAAUGAUUGGGGUGAAGUCGUAACAAGGUACC
rnacentral:rRNA from 1 species